rnacentral:rRNA from 1 species
GAUAAACGCUGGCGGCGUGCCUAAUACAUGCAAGUCGAACGGAAGGUUUGUAGCAAUACUAACCUUUAGUGGCGAAUGGGUGAGUAACGCGUUGGUGACCUGCCCCGAAGAGAGGGACAACAGUUCGAAAGGACUGCUAAUACCUCAUGUGGUUACAAGGAUUAGAUACCUUGUAUCUAAAGGAGCAAUCCGCUUCGGGAGGGACCUGCGUCCCAUCAGCUAGUUGGUAGGGUAACGGCCUACCAAGGCUACGACGGGUAGGGGGCCUGAGAGCGUGGCCCCACACAUUGGCACUGAAACACGGGCCAAACACCUACGGGUGGCAGCAGUAGGGAAUAUUGCACAAUGGGCGAAAGCCUGAUGCAGCAACGCCGCGUGCGCGAUGAAGGCCUUCGGGUCGUAAAGCGCUUUUUGAGGAGAUGAGGAAGGACAGUAUCCUCAGAAUAAGAUUCGGCUAACUACGUGCCAGCCGCCGCGGUAA